GGACACUUAGCUCAGCGGUAGAGCGCUUGCAUCACACGCAAGAAGUCGUAGGUUCAAAUCCUACAGUGUCCA
rnacentral:tRNA from 1 species